rnacentral:rRNA from 2 species
GGGUUGUGAGGUUAAGCGACUAAGCGUACACGGUGGAUGCCCUGGCAGUCAGAGGCGAUGAAGGGCGUGCUAAUCUGCGAUAAGCGCCGGUAAGGUGAUAUGAACCGUUAUAACCGGCGAUACCCGAAUGGGGAAACCCAGUGUGAUUCGUCACACUAUCAUUAACUGAAUCCAUAGGUUAAUGAGGCGAACCGGGGGAACUGAAACAUCUAAGUACCCCGAGGAAAAGAAAUCAACCGAGAUUCCCCCAGUAGCGGCGAGCGAACGGGGAGGAGCCCAGAGCCUGAAUCAGCAUGUGUGUUAGUGGAAGCGUCUGGAAAGGCGCGCGAUACAGGGUGACAGCCCCGUACACAAAAGCGCAUGUGCUGUGAGCUCGAUGAGUAGGGCGGGACACGUGGUAUCCUGUCUGAAUAUGGGGGGACCAUCCUCCAAGGCUAAAUACUCCUGACUGACCGAUAGUGAACCAGUACCGUGAGGGAAAGGCGAAAAGAACCCCGGCGAGGGGAGUGAAAAAGAACCUGAAACCGUGUACGUACAAGCAGUGGGAGCACAGGUUUACCUGUGUGACUGCGUACCUUUUGUAUAAUGGGUCAGCGACUUAUAUUCUGUAGCAAGGUUAACCGAAUAGGGGAGCCGGAGGGAAACCGAGUCUUAACCGGGCGUUAAGUUGCAGGGUAUAGACCCGAAACCCGGUGAUCUAGCCAUGGGCAGGUUGAAGGUUGGGUAACACUAACUGGAGGACCGAACCGACUAAUGUUGAAAAAUUAGCGGAUGACCUGUGGCUGGGGGUGAAAGGCCAAUCAAACCGGGAGAUAGCUGGUUCUCCCCGAAAGCUAUUUAGGUAGCGCCUCGUGAACUCAUCUCCGGGGGUAGAGCACUGUUUCGGCUAGGGGGCCAUCCCGGCUUACCAACCCGAUGCAAACUGCGAAUACCGGAGAAUGUUAUCACGGGAGACACACGGCGGGUGCUAACGUCCGUCGUGAAGAGGGAAACAACCCAGACCGCCAGCUAAGGUCCCAAAGUCAUGGUUAAGUGGGAAACGAUGUGGGAAGGCCCAGACAGCCAGGAUGUUGGCUUAGAAGCAGCCAUCAUUUAAAGAAAGCGUAAUAGCUCACUGGUCGAGUCGGCCUGCGCGGAAGAUGUAACGGGGCUAAACCAUGCACCGAAGCUGCGGCAGCGACACUCAGGUGUCGUUGGGUAGGGGAGCGUUCUGUAAGCCUG